UACGGAGGGUGCGAGCGUUGUCCGGAAUCACUGGGCGUAAAGCGUGCGCAGGCGGUUUUGUAAGUCUGUUGUGAAAUCCCCGGGCUUAACCUGGGAAUGGCAAUGGAGACUGCAAGGCUAGAGUUUGGCAGAGGGGGGUAGAAUUCCACGUGUAGCAGUGAAAUGCGUAGAGAUGUGGAGGAACACCGAUGGCGAAGGCAGCCCCCUGGGUCAAGACUGACGCUCAUGCACGAAAGCGUGGGGAGCAAACAGG
rnacentral:rRNA from 1 species